rnacentral:tRNA from 1 species
UAAUUAUAAAUCUUAAUUAAAUUUUAACUUUAAUUAAUUCUUU